rnacentral:rRNA from 1 species
AUUGAACGCUGGCGGCAUGCUUUACACAUGCAAGUCGAACGGCAGCGCGGGCUUCGGCCUGGCGGCGAGUGGCGAACGGGUGAGUAAUGCAUCGGAACUUGCCCAGUAGUGGGGGAUAGCCCGGCGAAAGCCGGAUUAAUACCGCAUACGACCUGAGGGUGAAAGCGGGGGGCCGAAAGGCCGCGCGCUAUUGGAGCGGGCGAGUUCGGAUUAGCUAGUUGGUGGGGUAAAGGCUUACCAAGGCGACGAUCCGUAGCUGGUCUGAGAGGACGACCAGCCACACUGGGACUGAGACACGGCCCAGACUCCUACGGGAGGCAGCAGUGGGGACUUUUGGACAAUGGGGGCAACCCUGAUCCAGCCAUGCCGCGUGCGGGAAGAAGGCCUUCGGGUUGUAAAGCGCUUUUGUUCGGGAAGAAAUCCUCUGGGCUAAUACCCCGGGGGGAUGACGGUACCGGAAGAAUAAGCACCGGCUAACUACGUG